rnacentral:rRNA from 1 species
UACAGAGGGGGCAAGCGUUGUUCGGAAUUACUGGGCGUAAAGGGCUCGUAGGCGGCCAACUAAGUCAGACGUGAAAUCCCCAGGCUUAACCUGGGAACUGCGUCUGAUACUGGAUGGCUUGAGAUUGGGAGAGGGAUGCGGAAUUCCAGGUGUAGCGGUGAAAUGCGUAGAUAUCUGGAGGAACACCGGUGGCGAAGGCGACAUCCUGGACCAACACUGACGCUGAGGAGCGAAAGCCAGGGGAGCAAACGGG